UCCCACUCUGACGUCCCACUUCUCUCACACACACCUUAGAAAUGCAAGAUGGCAGGGAAGCAAAAUCCAGAAGUACAUAUAAAAAGGAUCUGACUCAUCUAUGAAAUCAACAUGAAGUGGAACACUCGAGUCAUGUUUAGCAGGACAAACCUAAGUAGACGAGAGGGGUGUUCCCUUUCCCACAGUGCAUGAUGGGUAAUGAGGAAGAACAGCUAUUCCGAAAACUCUUGCUCUCUGACGUGCGCACACAUUGUAACAGCAAAGGAAACACCUUGGAAAUCUUGACCAGUGACUUUCCUCUUUAUUUCUCUGUAUUUCCUGUCUGUUGUGGGUUCCACUAUUACAAUGGACAGUUACAGGCGGAAAGGAAUGAGCUUUGAAUAACAACGGCCACAAGUAAACAUGCAUUGUUUUUAGUUUGUGGGAACAAUCAUUUUAUUACCCAUCCUUCUCUUUAAAAGGCUGGGCAGGGCCUGUCUUACUCAACUUUAAACUACCUGGAACCUCAUAUCUUUGUGUCAGUACUGUGAAAUCUGAGUACUGAGAAACUAUAUAAGUGUCUAUUUUUGAAAGUGUCUGUGUCAGUCAGUAUAUUUUGCAGCACGUCUGUUAGGUGUUUAAAAGGAAGCUAAAAUACACAUAUUACUUGAGAAUGCCAUUUUGGCUUUUGAGGUUUAAAACUAUAGUAAAAUA